rnacentral:rRNA from 1 species
CGAAGCACCAACAUCCAAAGAGAAUUACAACCACCAGCUUGAAACUCAAAGGACUUGACAGUAUCUCAUACACCCCUAGAGGGAGCCUGUCCUAUAAUCGAUAACCCACGAUAUACCUCACCCGUCCUAGCACAACUCAGCCUAUAUACCUCCGUCGCCAGUCCGCCUGUUAACAGACACCAAAGCGCAUAUAAUAGUCAACCACUAACACGACAGGUCAAGGUGUAGCUAAUAGACUGGACAGAGAUGGGCUACAUUUUCUAUAUUAAAAAAUACCCACAUACUAUGCAAACUGUACAAAAGGUGGAUUUAGCAGUAAGUGGGACAAGACGAGCUCACCUGAAGCCAACCAUGAGAUGUGUACACACCGCCCGUCACCGCUCA